rnacentral:rRNA from 1 species
AUUGAACGCUGGCGGCAGGCCUAACACAUGCAAGUCGAACGGUAGCACAGAGAGCUUGCUCUCGGGCGACGAGUGGCGGACGGGUGAGUAAUGUCUGGGAAACUGCCCGAUGGAGGGGGAUAACUACUGGAAACGGUAGCUAAUACCGCAUACCGUCGCAAGACCAAAGUGGGGGACCUUCGGGCCUCACACCAUCGGAUGUGCCCAGAUGGGAUUAGCUAGUAGGUGGGGUAAUGGCUCACCUAGGCGACGAUCCCUAGCUGGUCUGAGAGGAUGACCGGCCACACUGGAACUGAGACACGGUCCAGACUCCUACGGGAGGCAGCAGUGGGGAAUAUUGCACAAUGGGCGCAAGCCUGAUGCAGCCACGCCGCGUGUAUGAAGAAGGCCUUCGGGUUGUAAAGUACUUUCAGCGGGGAGGAAGGCGGUGAAGUUAAUAGCUUCACCGAUUGACGUUACCCGCAGAAGAAGCACCGGCUAACUCCGUGCCAGCCGCCGCGGUAA